GGAAUAUAUAAAAUAUAAAAUUUAAAAAUGACCUAAUAUGUUAAAUGCUGGUGAAGGAAGGAAGGAAGGAAGGAAGGAAGGAAGGAAGGAAGGAAGGAAGGAAGGAAGGAAGGAAGGAAGGAAGGAAAGAAGGAAGGAAGGGAGGAAGGGAGGGAGGAAGGGAGGAAGAGAGGGAGGGAAGGAGGGAGGAAGGAAGAAAGAAACGAAGAAUGGGUGGAAGCAAGGAAAGAAAGAAGAAGGAAAGAAAACUAAAGAAGAUUAACACAGAUGCACUGCAAAAAUGUGUGUACUGUGAAAAGAGCAAUAACACAGUGAUGCCUGGAGGGCAAAUCUCAUUUGCUAUAAUAAAAAUCAAGAUUUUUGGGCAAGCUAUUUGGCAAAAGAGGACCAAAAUGUUUGAAUUUACACACAGAACUUUUAGCAGUGGGAUUAAAACAGAUAUCUAAACUCUCAAGUUUCAGCUUCUUGACUGUAAGUAAUGAUAAUAUGUCCUCUGUGAUUUUCUUCUAUAUAGACAUACAGAUUACAUGAGAAACCAUAUAAGAUAUUUUAUCAUAUAAAUAGCUAUCAUUAUAAUAAUUCAUAUAGUUUUUCAAUAUUAUAAUUUUUAAAACUACUUUUUAAAAUAAAUUCACUUUAAUUCUUCAGUUAUUUAGUAAUGCAUGGCCCUGGUUAUAUGUUUCAGUGAUUAUUUUAGUCAACUAAUUAUAUUUAAAAUUUGAUUUGAGUGAUUUGUAGCAAUGGUCAAUGAAUUAUGGAUUUCCAACUAAGUUGACAUAUGUAUCAAUUUGAAAUACUAUUUUUUCACUUGAAAUUAUUAAAAUACUAUGCUAAGCAUUGAAUGCCUAUUUCAUCUUUCAAUCAUAAAACAUUUAUUUUGUAUAUUCUAGGUGGGGCAAUAUUUGGUUGUGGAGAAAAUAGGAAAUAUUUCAUAAAUUUGUUUAUUUUUAUCAAUAAUAUUUGUUACAAUGUAUGAAUUGUAAAUAAAUGAAUUUUUAGGGUUAGAAAAUAAUUUCAAAAAUGAUAAACAUGAAAAAAUGAGAGAAUGGUGCUUCAAUUUGUAUUCUUAAGUUUUAGUUUUUAAGAACCCAUGUCUUAGGUUGGAGCUCUUUAAAUGGUUGUUUUGAUAAGUAUCACCUUCUCCAAAACUUGUUUCAUGUGUUUCCAGACUUAUGAGUGGAAGCAGUCAUGUGUGUUUGUAUGUGUCCAUGAGUCACUUGUGCACACCCACAUAGAACAGGAAGUGGUGAGGAGUUUCAUGAUAUUUAGUAUUUUAGGAUAUUAUUUUUGUUUCGUAAAUAAAGCUAAAGGAUAAACCACAGUGUAUCAAAUAAGAAAACUGUCAAACCCCGAUUUUACAUCUAGCAAAAACUUCAAGACUGGAAGUGAAAUAAAUGCAUUCAAAUAAAAAGGUAAAAUGAUUUCAUGUCAGCAGAAUUGCCAAAGUAAGUACUUUAAGUUAAUGGGAAUAUAUAUCAGUUAGAAAUUCCAAUCCUUUGGGAAAGCAAGAAAGAAGAACAGAAGUAAUAAAUAACUGAAAAUUAUAAAAUCUUAUUUUUAGCCUUUUUUUCUAUUAAUUUGUUAUAAGCCAUAUUGAUGUUUAAAUAAAAUAUUAGAGAAUAGCCUUAAAGUUUUUAAAUGUAGAUAGAUUUAAAUAUGUAACAUCCAGGUAUUAUGCAUAGUAUUCAUUAGUUACUUCUCCUGAUCCUCUCGCUCCUCCCACCCUUCACUCUCUGGUAAGCCCCAGUGUGUGUUGUUCCCCUCUAUGUGUCCAUGUGUUCUCAUCAUUUAGCUCCCACUUAAAAGUGAGAAUAUUCAGUGUUUGAUUUUCUUUUCCUGUGUGAGUCUGCUAAGGAUAAUGGCCUCCAACUCCAUUCAUGUUUCGGUGAAGGACAUAAUCUCAUUUUUUAUGGCUGCACAGUAUUUUGUGGUGCAUAUGUAUGACAUUUUCUUUAGGUAGUCUAUCUGUGAUGGGCAUUUAGGUUGAUUCAUGUCUUUGUCAUAACACAUUUGCCUAUUGUAUUAGUCUGUUCUCGCACUGCUGUAAAGAACUACAUGAGACUGGGUAAUUUAUAAAGAAAAGACAUGUAAUUGGCUCAUGUUUCUGCAGGCUGUACAGGAGGCGUGACUGGGGAGGCUUCAGAAAACUUACAAUCAUGGCAAAAGGCAAAGAGGUAGGAGGCACAUCUUCACCUGUCCACAGCAGGAGGAAGACAGAGAGAAAGUGGAUAUGCUACACACUUUUAAACAACCAGAUCUUGUGAGAACUCUAGCCAAAACAACAUUUGGGGAUGGUGCUAAACCAUUAGCAACCACCACCAUUAUCCAAUCACCUCCCACCAUGCCCCUUCUCUAACACUGGAAAUCCUGAUUUGAUGUGAGAUUUGCAUGGGAACACAAAUCCAAACCAUAUCAGUUAUGUAAUAAACUUGCACAUGUAACCCUGAGUUUAAAUUAAAAGUUUCAAAAUUUUUUUCAAAAAUUGAAAAAAAAUGUAUACACAAACAUAUGUGUGAAUACGCAUACCACAUAUAUGACACCUAUAACAUAAGAGAGAAGGGGAACAUGGAUCUAAAAAUUUGCAUUUUUUUGUAUUAGAAGAUUUAUUAUGGUUAAGCCAUAAAUGCUACUCAAAUCCCAAUCAGAAUUCAGACAGAAUUAUUUUGUGUAGAAAUUCACAGGUGAUUCAACACUUAUGUUGAAAUGUAAUACUUAUAUGGAAAUAACUUAUAUGGAAAUAACAAAAAAUGACUUUAAAAAGGACAACAACAGAGGACUUGAACUACUGUAUUGAAAGCAUUACUCCAAAAGUACAAUACUCACACAGCAUGUGACUGACAUUAAGGAUAGGAGUAGACAACAGUGGAACAGUUUAGGAAGUUUAGAAAUAGAAUUAUGCAUAUAUGGUCAUUCAUUUUUAAAAAGGGUGCCAAAACAAUUCAAUGGAAAAACUAGGUGUUUACAAAAAAUAAUGCAGAAACAAGUAGAUGUCAUAGGGAGAAGAAAAAAAAAAAACAAAAAAACAACCCAUAUGCCAAGCUCUUUCUAAAAGAUUAAACAAAAAAUGAAAUAGAUAUCUAUUGAUAUAUGUAAGAGUCAAAAUUUUGAAAUUACCAGAGAAUAAUUAUGGUGAAAUAUGGAUGCCCCUGGUUUAGGCAAAC
rnacentral:lncRNA from 1 species